GGAAAACUGAACUCCGAAACGACAACUGAUUUGAGGGCUUAGGGUUCCGACCGAAUCACUCUCGGAUUGAGAAUUCAUUGGAGACUUCAUUUUUUCAGAACAGGAAAUGAAAGGGACAGAGAUUUUUGUUGGUGGUUUGGCCCGUACUACUACUGAAAGCAAAAUUCACGAGGUAUUUUCUUCAUGCGGUGAGAUUGUGGAAAUAAGGUUGAUAAAAGACCAGAUAGGCAAUGCCAAGGGGUUCUGCUUUGUACGAUUUGCAACAAAAUAUGCUGCUGACAAAGCUCUGAAGGAAAAAUCUGGAUAUGUGCUAGAUGGGAAGAAAAUUGGGAUUCGCCCCUCAGUUGAGCAGGACACACUAUUUCUUGGAAAUCUUAACAAAGGUUGGGGUGCUGAGGAAUUUGAGAGUAUUGUGCGCCAGGUUUUUCCAGAUGUUACAUCUGUUGAUCUUGCAAUUCUUGGAGAUGUCCAACUUGGUCAGAAGCAACGGAAUCGGGGAUUUGCCUUUGUGAAAUUUUCAUCUCAUGCUGCUGCAGCUCGUGCUUUACGGGUAGGCUCCCAAUCUGAUUUUCUCAUCGGUGGCAACUUGCAUCCAUCUGUACAGUGGGCUGAGGAGGAAUCUGAAGUUGAUCCUAAUGAACUUGCUCAGAUCAAAGUAGCCUUUGUCAGAAAUGUACCUCCUGGUGCUGAUGAA
rnacentral:misc_RNA from 1 species